rnacentral:rRNA from 1 species
CAGUCGCCGCGGGAACACCAGCACCUCGAGUGGUCAGGAGGUUUAUUGGGCCUAAAGCAUCCGUAGCCGGUUGCAUAAGUUUUCGGUUAAAUCUAUGCGCUUAACGUAUAGGCCGCCGAAAAUACUGUGCAGCUAGGGAGUGGGAGAGGUACACGGUACUCGAUAGGAAGGGGUAAAAUCCUUUGAUCUAUUGAUGACCACCUGUGGCGAAGGCGGUGUACCAGAACACGUUCGACGGUGAGGGAUGAAAGCUGGGGGAGCAAACCGGAUUAGAUACCCGGGUAGUCCCUGUCUCUUAUAC